rnacentral:rRNA from 1 species
UACGUAGGGUGCAAGCGUUAAUCGGAAUUACUGGGCGUAAAGCGUGCGCAGGCGGUUUUGUAAGACUGUCGUGAAAUCCCCGGGCUCAACCUGGGAAUGGCGAUGGUGACUGCAAGGCUAGAGUUUGGCAGAGGGGGGUAGAAUUCCACGUGUAGCAGUGAAAUGCGUAGAUAUGUGGAGGAACACCGAUGGUGAAGGCAGCCCCCUGGGUCAAAACUGACGCUCAUGCACGAAAGCGUGGGGAGCAAACAGG